AAAGAACUCGCAGUCACAACCGUUGCAUCCACGUCUCCUUUAAAUCGCUAUGCCAUCGCCUGUUAAUUUGGUGCCCCGCCGGGGGGCAUUUUCGUCAUUUCAUGCACCGGAGUAUAAAACAAAGCCACUCCUGGGGAGAAGUCCUAGCCGCCGCCUCCCGUCCCACUCGCCUCCCCCUCCUCGUCGCCCUCCUCUCUCUCUCUCUCUCUCUCUCUCUCUCUCCCCAUCGCGCCGGCCGGUUCCGGCCAGCUCCGGCCCGCGCGUCUCCCCCGCGACCCCCGCCUCCUCUCCUGCCGCCGCCGCCGCCGGAGAAGCUCGCCGCCGAUGCCCGUGACCUAGCCCGCGCGUCUCCCCCGCGACCCCCGCCCCCUCUCCUGCCGUCGCCGCCGCCGGAGAAGCUCGCCUCCGCGCCCACAAGCCUCGGAUCCGGCGGGAUUCGGGACGAGGAGGGGUGGAUGAGACGGGGGAGGAGGAGGAGGAGAGUGUGGGGGCGUCUGGGGAGGAAUAUCCCCGCCGCCUCCUCCGCUCCUGACGCAGGGCCUCGAGCCAUGGGGGCGUUCGUUGCAGGAACCUCGCCGCUGGCCUCCCGUGCGCGGCGCCCGGCCCUGGCAGCGCUGACCUCGCCGAUGGCCUCCUGUGCGGUACCUCUUCUUCCCCGACGACGCAUGCCCGCACAUCUCGCCCGCCGCCUCCAGCUACUCGCCGGCUUCGCCACCCGCGCCGCUGCCUGUCUUGCAAUGAGCGCCGGAGCAGCCUACGGACAAGAGUGGCGUUCAAGACAACAUGCGCAGCUUGGGAACCGCUGGCUGAAACUGCAAGUUGUUGUCUCUACCAAUUGGCCUUACCAAGCCGGGCUCCUUCUAUCUCGUGUUAGAGCUUGUAUGUGGUUGAUGGAGGAAGCACGGGGAGGAGCAAAAACAAAUGGUGUUGGAGGAGGAAAAACAAAUGGCGAUCUCCAUGUACAAGGGGCUCAUUGGUCGCUUGGCCUGCUUUUGGUAUAUCAAUGAGGAUAUCCCUGACAUAAAUUCGUUUAGUGACAGUCUUGGAGAGAAAUUUACUACUGUCGAUGCACACACUCAUUCGGGGUAGAAUCUGAUCUCGAGUGCUGAUUGUUUCUCGAUUUCACGCCACUUCUUCUCCACCACACCCUUGCUCAGGCAUCAACAGCUUGUUGCCAUGGUUUGAAUCACACAUGUUCAGUUGAAUGGAUAUCUAAGAGGACCAAGGUGAUGUUGUUGUGAGAUAUUUGCAAAGGGAGGACAACCUACAAAUAUUGACCAAUAAAUUAUCCAUCAUAUGUAUCUUUCAUCCCACCACCCCCGCGUCAUCCUCUCCCUCAUGCCGAUUUGUUGCCCGACCGUGCAGACAACAUAGCAAUGACCAUUUAUCGGGUUGUUGUUGCCUUUGGGUUGCUCGCUGUAUCGACUGUCUUGUGAUUCCCCACCUGCUUGCCCUGCAUAUUUUCUAUUUGAUGAAAUGUAUACUAGCUAACUCCAUGUUCUUCUAUCAUUUUAUUUUACUUUGCAGGUUCUACUGUUUGUGACGUGCUUCUUGUUGAUCAUAUGCUGCUUUGGCACGUCAAGGGCCAAUGCUGGUGUUAGGACCACUGCGAUCACAAACAAAGCCAAGUAGCUGCUGCUCCGCUCUCUACUGAAGAAGCAUUUGUAGGUUAUUCUAUGCAUAAGACUGCGCUUUUAUGUGUCAUUUCCUUCAAGCUGUCAUUGCAACAGAAGAUGAAGUGUAUCUUCGUGAUCAGUAGAUCACUGCGUGAUGCCGCAUGUCGUAGUUCUAUCGCUACGUGGAAUGUGCCAGAAAUGCAAGGAAGAUAGACCCAUACAUGGCCGUGCAGUACCGGAGCCAGGAGCACAAGGGCGGCACCGCCCGAGACGUGAUGCACGCCGCCAGGUCCGCGCCGACAUCGUCCUCACGGAGCCGCUGGCCUCUGCGUUGUGUUCUCCAUCUUGCAACGCAUGAUGAACUACACGGUAGAGUUCAGCCGAGGAAGAAUCAGGUGAUUCUGGAUUGUUGUGUAAUUGUUUAUAUUCCUAACUGAGAUGGGAUUACAGUUUAUUUGCUUGAUUAUUGGUCAUGUUUACUUAGAUAAUCCAUUGAUGGUUGAUCUGGUUAAGUACAUAUGCUACCCCUUGUUUGUUUAUAUUGCUAGCUGAGAUGGGAUUACAGUUUAUUUGCUUGAUUAUUGGCCGCAUUUACUUAGAUAACUCAUUGAUGGUUGAUCUUGUUAGCUACAGAUGCUACCCCUUGUUCUGAACAAGCUUUAAUUUUGGUGGACUAAUCCCAGUUUGACGUAGUUGCUGGUCAUCAACAAAAAGCCGACCACAUAAUCCUGUAUUUUAUUUCUGGGUCGUUUCAAAAUUUCUGCUCUACACAGAAUCUUAAGAAGUUUGGGUAUGCACACAGGUCCUAAUAAUAAUGAGCUGUUUAGUGCAAUGCAUGUGGCCUGAUUACUUCUUCUCUUUCCUUUUUUUAUGUUGUACGUUCUUGGAGGUCGCCUUUUCUUUCUUCUGUUGAUCAAGUUUUCUUCUUCUUUCUUCUGCUUAUCAGGGUUUCUUCCUUUCCUUUUUUCUGGAAAUUGCAUUUAUUGUGUGACCUAUGUACUUUCAUUAUUCUUGCUUCAUUGGUCGUGUUGAUAUUCUAGGUUUGGCCCGACAUUGUGUUUUCUUUUGCCUCAUGCCAUUCAUAUUUUGUGGUUGCGUGUGGACAUGAUUUGCGCGCUUAUUUCAAUUGUUAGCCGUGUAUCAUGGUGUGCUUUGCCUGCUUUUUUAUGCUUGUGUGAAUUGACCAUGGUCUGUUCUUGUUGGGGUAAAGCCUGAACUGCCGGCUACACUUUGGUUAUUGUCCUUAUUCUGGUUAUCCUUGGCAUCUUUCUAUCAGUGGAGAUCCUUGUUUUCAAGUAGCAGGGAUAGAGGGACAGAAAAGAUAUAUUUGUCGCGGCGCUGCAAGUGUUGCCCCCCUCCUCCCCAAGGGCAAGGUGAAGGAAGGUGCCUGUGUGGUUCUUCUGCAGUUCGCAGCGAGGAUUGCUGUGUCCAACCUGCACAAGAAUGCCAAGAAGUCCUUCUCGGAGACGAUUAAGGACAUGUACCUGCACUACAACGAGAGAUCUGGGCUGCUUCUUUGUGGCUUCCAAACUUGAAAUGUUUGUUUGGAAGUUAGUUUAGUUUUUUGUUGUGGAUUCACAGCUUCUCACAUGUACCAUCCUCUUAGACCUUUAGAUUUUCAAAGAAUCUAAAUGAAGAUAUGGUGGUAUGGUCUCAAUAGUACAAUUUAAAGCCUUCCAUGCUUUAUAUUUUCUUUGAAAUUUGCUCUUGAAGAAUCAUGUAUCUAUGUUUGAUUUGGUGAGAAAAGGCGGCUUUCAAGCAGAGGAUGUGGGAGUGUUGGCCACAUUUGGUUUUCGACUUGGG
rnacentral:rRNA from 1 species